AUUUUGCGUUAGGGAUAGAAACGGAAAUCCUUUUUUGAGGCUUUUUUGCCGAUAAAAAAGAUUGAAGUGUAUAGCCCGACCCUUG
rnacentral:sRNA from 26 species